AUUGAACGCUGGCGGCAGGCCUAACACAUGCAAGUCGAACGAGUCGCGGACGGGUGAGUAAUGUCUGGGAAACUGCCUGAUGGAUGGGGUUAACUACUGGAACCGGUAGCUAUUACCGCUUACCAUCGGAUGUUCCCCGAUGGGAUUAGCUAGUAGGUGGGGUAAAGGCUCACCUAGGCGACGAUCCCUAGCUGGUCUGCGAGGAUGACAAGCGACACGGGAACUGAGACACGGUGCAGACGCCGACGGGAGGCAGCGGGGGGGAAUAUUGCACAAUGGGCGCAAGCCGGAUGAAGCCAUGCCGCGUGUAUGAAGAAGGCGAUCGGGUUGUAAAGUACUUUCACCGGGGUGGCGGUAGCUGCAGAAGAAGCACCGGCUAACUCCGUGCCAGCAGCCGCGGUAAUAC
rnacentral:rRNA from 1 species